rnacentral:rRNA from 1 species
UCCCCUAGUAACUGCGAGUGAAGCGGGAAGAGCUCAAAUUUAAAAUCUGGCAGUCUUUGGCUGUCCGAGUUGUAAUCUAGAGAAGUAUUAUCCGCGCUGGACCGUGUACAAGUCUCCUGGAAUGGAGCGUCAUAGAGGGUGAGAAUCCCGUCUUUGACACGGACUGCCAGGGCUUUGUGAUGUGCUCUCAAAGAGUCGAGUUGUUUGGGAAUGCAGCUCAAAAUGGGUGGUAAAUUCCAUCUAAAGCUAAAUAUUGGCGAGAGACCGAUAGCGAACAAGUACCGUGAGGGAAAGAUGAAAAGAACUUUGGAAAGAGAGUUAAACAGUACGUGAAAUUGCUGAAAGGGAAACGCUUGAAGUCAGUCGCGUUGGCCAGGGAUCAACCUUGCUUUUUUUGCUUGGCUUACUUUCUGGUUGAUGGGUCAGCAUCAAUUUUGACUGGUGGAAAAAGUUCAAGGGAAUGUGGCAUCCUCGGAUGUGUUAUAGCCUUUGUUCGCAUACAUCAGUUGGGAUUGAGGAACUCAGCACGCCGCAAGGCCGGGUUUUUAACCACGUACGUGCUUAGGAUGUUGGCAUAAUGGCUUUAAUCGACCCGUCUUGAAACACGGACCAAGGAGUCUAACAUGCCUGCGAGUGUUUGGGUGAAAAACCCGAGCGCGUAAUGAAAGUGAAAGUUGAGAUCCCUGUCGUGGGGAGCAUUGACGCCCGGAUCUGACCUUUUGUGACGAUUCUGCGGUAGAGCAUGUAUGUUGGGACCCGAAAGAUGGUGAACUAUGCCUGAAUAGGGUGAAGCCAGAGGAAACUCUGGUGGAGGCUCGUAGCGAUUCUGACGUGCAAAUCGAUCGUCAAAUUUGGGUAUAGGGGCGAAAGACUAA